AAGACCUUGCGCUUUUGGAGCGGCCGAUGCCUGAUUAGCUUGUUGGUAAGGUAAAAGCUUACCAAGGCUUCGAUCAGUAGCUGGUCUGAGAGGACGGCCAGCCACACUGGGACUGAGACACGGCCCAGACUCCUACGGGAGGCAGCAGUGGGGAAUUUUGGACAAUGGGGGCAACCCUGAUCCAGCCAUGCCGCGUGAGUGAAGAAGGCCUUCGGGUUGUAAAGCUCUUUCAGCCGGAACGAAACGGUUACGGUUAAUACCCGUGACUACUGACGGUACCGGAAGAAGAAGCACCGGCUAACUACGUGCCAGCAGCCGCGGUAAUACGUAGGGUGCGAGCGUUAAUCGGAAUUACUGGGCGUAAAGCGUGCGCAGGUGGUUUUGUAAGUCAGAUGUGAAAUCCCCGGGCUUAACCUGGGAACU
rnacentral:rRNA from 1 species